AUUGAACGCUGGCGGCAUGCUUUACACAUGCAAGUCGAACGGUAACAGGUUAAGCUGACGAGUGGCGAACGGGUGAGUAAUGCAUCGGAACGUGCCCGGUCGUGGGGGAUAACGCAGCGAAAGCUGCGCUAAUACCGCAUACGAUCUGAGGAUGAAAGCGGGGGACCGUAAGGCCUCGCGCGAUCGGAGCGGCCGAUGUCAGAUUAGGUAGUUGGUGGGGUAAAGGCUCACCAAGCCAACGAUCUGUAACUGGUCUGAGAGGACGACCAGCCACACUGGGACUGAGACACGGCCCAGACUCCUACGGGAGGCAGCAGUGGGGAAUUUUGGACAAUGGGCGAAAGCCUGAUCCAGCAAUGCCGCGUGCAGGAAGAAGGCCUUCGGGUUGUAAACUGCUUUUGUUCGGAGCGAAAAGGUCUCCUCUAAUACAGGGGGCUCAUGACGGUACCGUAAGAAUAAGCACCAGCUAACUACGUGCCAGCAGCCGCCGUAA
rnacentral:rRNA from 1 species